rnacentral:rRNA from 1 species
GCAGUCGAGGGGCAGCGGGACACUUCGGUGUUGCCGGCGACCGGCGGACGGGUGCGUAAUGCGCAUGCAAUCUACUUUACACUGGGGAAUAGCCUCCGGAAACGGGAAUUAAUACCCCAUAUAAUCUUAUUAGCGCAUGUUAAAAAGAUGAAAGCUCCGGCGGUGUAAAAUGAGCGUGCGUCCUAUUAGCUAGUUGGUGAGGUAAUGGCUCACCAAGGCUACGAUGGGUAGGGGUUCUUAGUGGAAGGUCCCCCACACUGGCACUGAGAUACGGGCCAGACUCCUACGGGAGGCAGCAGUAGGGAAUAUUGGUCAAUGGGCGCAAGCCUGAACCAGCCAUGCCGCGUGCAGGAUGAAGGCUCUCUGAGUUGUAAACUGCUUUUGUACAGGAGCAAAAAAAUCCCUGCGGGGGUUCUUGAGAGUACUGUAAGAAUAAGCACCGGCUAAUUCCGUGCCAGCAGCCGCGGUAAUACGGGAGGUGCAAGCGUUAUCCGGUUUUAUUGGGUUUAAAGGGUGCGUAGGCGGCUUAUUAAGUCAGUUGUGAAAUCCUAGUGCUUAACGCUAGAACUGCGAUUGAUACUAUUAGGCUUGAGUUAAGAAGAGGUAAGUAGAAUUUAUGGUGUAGUAGUGAAAUGCUUAGAUAUCAUAAGGAAUACCAAUAGCGUAGGCAGCUUACUGGUCUUUAACUGACGCUGAGGCACGAAAGCGUGGGGAGCAAACAGGAUUAGAUACCCUGGUAGUCCACGCUGUAAACGAUGAUCACUCGAUAUACAUGAACUUUCGUGUGUGUCUAAGCGA